rnacentral:rRNA from 1 species
UAGGGAAUCUUCGGCAAUUGACGAAAGUCUGACCGAGCAACGCCGCGUGAGUGAAGAAGGUUUUUGGAUCGUAAAACUCUGUUGUUAGAGAAGAACAAGGACGUUAUUAACUGAACGUCCCCUGACGGUAUCUAACCAGAAAGCCACGGCUAACUACGUGCCAUCAGCCGCGGUAAUACGUAUGUGUCUAGCGUUGUCCGGAUUUAUUGGGCGUAAAGCGAGCGCAGGCGGUUUCUUAAGUCUGAUGUGAAAGCCCGCGGCUCAACCGGGGAGGGGCAUUGGAAACUGGGAGACUUGAGUGCAGAAGAGGAGAGUGGAAUUCCAUGUGGAGCGGUGAAAAGCGUAGAUAUAUGGAGGAACACCAGUGGCGAAGGAGGCUCUCUGGUCUGUAACUGACGCUGAGGCGCGAAAGCGUGGGGAGCAAACAGG